rnacentral:piRNA from 1 species
UUCCAGAAAAUUGUUGGGCGA